rnacentral:rRNA from 1 species
AUGGCAGCAAUUGAAGACGACUCGUGCAGGAGGGCGGGCUCGAUACCGUUCAAGUGGGAGGUCUGUCCUGGGACGCCGAAGCACACGAGGAGCGCGAGCGCCGCGGCGGCGGUGGCGGCAUCGCCUGCCAAGGUGGCGCCCAAGCUGACGCUGACGCCGCCUCCCUCCAUGGCGUCCUCGCCAUCGCCGUAUUACCACCACUCGGCGGCUUCGUCGCCUCGUGUCACCUCCGCGCGCUCGGCGUCGGUGUCACCUUCCCGGCGCCGGCCCUACGCGUAUGCCGGCGGUCACCGCCGAGCGCCGCCCACCGCCUUCAUCGACGCCGCGCCUCGGCCAGCCACGAAGGAGUACGGCAGCCCCGCGCCUGAGCCAGACACGGCGGCGUUUGGGUGCUUCGCUCUGCCUAUGCUCCGGAGGAAAGGCAGCAAGAAAGGCGCCGGCCUCGCGUCCGCGUCCAGCUUCAGCUCCAGCUCCAGCUCGUCGGGAGGCAGCUUCAGGUCGGACGGCGGAGGGCUGGGGAUGCGGCGGUCGGCGUCGAUCUCAUCGGCCUCGUCGUUGCCACUGCCGCCCGGGAGGAGAUACGCCGCCCAAGCGAGGGCGGAGGUGGAUGCUGCAACUGGCCGUGGCUGGUACUUUUGA